UUACCGGGAACCUUGGUGGGUCCCUGGUCGCCCUCUUUCGGGAAGACGAUCCUCGUUCCUCUGGGGAUGCCCGGUUUAAUAGGACCUGCUCAUGUUUACAAGGGCCUACAGAAUAUAUAACUGCCCACGAAGACCCCGAAUAUUAGACAUUCGCAGAAGAUACACUCAUAGAGGACACAAUUGUAGCCUCAUCAUACGCAGUCUGAUAAAAAUAAAAGGAUUAUCAGUUGACUGAUGGAGCGCUGGCAGCGAGGACACGAAGAGGAUCGUGUACAGUUAGAGAUCAGUGUAGCAGCGAGAGGUUGUUUCGGGUCGAGAAAGCGUCGCGCGACAGAAGCGGAAGUGAAGAAACGUCUCGCGAUGCGGGGAGAUCGAUAAAGGAAGCGACGGAGAAGGGUACGGCCAAUGCAACCGAGAAGAUCUCACUUACGCCUGCUUGAUCUCCAAAUCGCAAAACGAAUAACGACAAAACGAGUCUGUCAAAUUACACUACAGUGUACCGAUUGGGCGACAAUCGACAACUGUUUCUAUGCGUUCGUGGCUAACAUCAGUGCAGGAUGGCUGCAAGAAAAAUCCGGAAAAGGAUGAAAAUCGGUGGAUCGUCGUUUGUUUUCAACAACUAACCGCGCCCCUCUCGACAACGAAAUAAUAGCAACGAGGAUCAUUAUGGAGGUUUCCGGAUUAAUUUUGAAUCUCGUGCGGAAAGCUGCUGCAAAGACGGAACCGAAAGAGAAGUGUUCUGGGGAGCAGGUGACGAGCACCGACGACAUAGGAUCCUCUGAUCAACGCGCAUCCAUCAGGAAGCCGUAUCCUUGCAAUUUAAUCGAGGAGUCACGGGACGACUGCUCGUCGGAGGCAGCGGAGGCAGCCGGGGAGAGGAUAUUCAAAGUAUCUUUGAGAACGGCUGAUGAAGAUUUCACGAGCGAUAAGGAGAACGGGUCAAGGAAGAAGAUCCGCGCGGAGCCGAGGCAGAUACUACCCAACAGCCGAGAAAAGAGCGACGAGCAGGAGAAAAUCUUUGUGCUGCAGCAACUCGGUCGAUCGCAGAUACGUCCGGAAGGAUUCCCGGCUUUCCUUUGCAUCGAUGGCCGGAUUGCGGACUCGAACGGAGUUAAGCGAAAAAUUCCGAGGCCGGCGAACGCGUUCAUGCUCUUCGCGAACGAGUGGCGGAAGAAGCUUGCCGCCGAGAAUCCUCGGGAGUCCAACAAGGACAUCAGCGUCAGAUUGGGCAUCCUGUGGAAGAACAUGGCGAAGGACGUGAAGGAAAAGUAUUUCGCUCUGGCGCGGGAAGUGGACGCGGAGCACAAGAGGAAGUAUCCAGGCACGUAAAGGAAACACAAUCGAUUCGUACAUCUGUUAAACGUAACCGAGACAAACACUAUAUACACUGUCAGGACACAAUUGCGUACAGGUAGAGUAGUCUCCCCUGGAACACGAUGGGCAUCGUAGAACGGCUUAAAUUUCCGCAGCGACCUCGUGCACACCGUGUCGCAUCGUUUAGAUCUACAAUCAGCUCGAUUAUCCGAAAUUAGCACUAGAACUACCUGACUCGUCUAGCUAACCAGUAGGCUGCGGAUCUUUAUGCGAACCAAAAAUCGUCUUGAUUUAUGUCAGAUAAUAACAAUAUAAUAAUAACAAUUAUAAGCUUAUAAAGAUUCGUAGUCUGCCAAUAAGUUAAAUAUUUUUCAUCUCGUAAUAGUAGUCCCGAAACAACUGCUAAUGUUCGAGCGUUUGCCAUCGUCAAAAAUUGUACAACGUUCUGUUACGUUAAAAAUACCAUGUAAACUAGUUGUCACAACAUCUGGUUACGUUCAACAGGCCGUGUAAAUUGGUCACUAGUAGUACUCGGUAGUUCUAGUGUCAAUGCUUGGUGGGUUCAGCGUUAAAUGACCACCGGCAGUGGUAGCGUUACGAUCGAAGGGCUGGGGGCAGCAGCCGCGAGAAAAUUUCUGGGCCGAGGUGAGCCCGAGGUGAGAGAUUCGUGUGCGAAUCGGGGGAGGAUAUAUCGCGGACCGGUAAACGGUCUCUCCUCAUCACCGAUAGCCACCGCCGGUGCGCUCACUGCUGGCUGAAAGUUCGAGGGGGUGCAAAGAUCCAAGCUAAAUUCCCCACUAAACGUCGGUCGCGCAAUCGACACGAGUGGGGGGUUGGGGGGUCGGUUGCGCGCCUCGGCCCCGAGCAAGCCCGAGUGGUCAAUUAAGAUCACCGGGAAGCGUCGAUAUGGUCUGCGCGAGCGUUCGAGAAACGCGGCACGGCGAGAGCGGAUUCGCGUGCAUCUGCGCGACUGCAUCGCACGCGUGACGAUGAGAGAGGGGCGGCUAGUGGUUGUCCGCUCGGCUCUGCUCAGCUCUGCUCCGGCUUGCCAGGGUGGAGAAAUCGCUCUUGAAACGACACCGGAUACAAGCUGCAGUCUGCAUGCACUUUUGUCAAAUUGUUUAAGCGUUCGAAUGGGCCUUUGUUCUUGUAAAGGAUUAGCAAUCCGUCCCUCGACUGUCUUUGAUGUUUGCAGUCAGGGGAUACUUGAUGCACUUCAAAAACUGUUCUUUGGAUUGUAAUAAAACGUGUAAUAGAGAGGUUGAAGAAAUUCUUUUUCAAAUUUAUCUUUUUAUUCUGCUCAUCGUAUCAAGAUCCUCGGGUCAUUUGUGGCACAGUGUCACAGCUAGGAUACUAAACAAUACUAGAUCUUCUAUUUUUAUUUUUUAUUUAAUUCAAACGGGACAGAAAUAUUAAGAUUUGCUACUGCAAAUUAACUGUAAUUACUGCUACAACUAAUGUUACUGUUAGAACUUUCAUCAGAGACUCUAUAUUAGGAUUUCUUAACACAAUGUUCAGAAGGAUAGAAGUUUCUAAAUUGUUAAAAGUUGCACGGUUAUAGAAAAAGGAAAAAAAUUGGUGUUUUUUCAUGGAAUGAAACGGGCUUGCGCAUGCAGCAGCGAGUGUGAUUCGAAAAGCGAUUUCCACACCCUAGCGAUCCGCUAGUUAGCCUGGCCUGGUCUGGCGUGGCGUGGCACGGUCGCGCCAAGGGAAGCCGUCAAAAUGUCGAGGCUCGUGCAUCCAGGUGGCACGUCGAGCCGAAGACACGAGUCGGGGGAGGAGUCUCUCUCCCUCUAUUCCUCGGCGUCUGUAACGAUCGCCGGUCAUCGAUCCGCUAUCGCAUCAAUGCGACGCUCGGUUGCUCAAGAAAACGAGCCACGUCGACGUGCUCGUUCCUCGUCGGACUACGGGCUGCGACGGGUCCGACGGAAAAUCGCGUCUUCAAGCUCGUCUUCCUGGGAAUUUCUUAUGGUAGGCCGGAGGAGGAACUUGAGAAAUUGCCUCCUCUCGCUACCACUUGCGGAGACUGCGGCUGAACGUUUACUUCCUCCAUGAUUCGGAUAUCUUAAUCCUCUGCCGGCGUUCCAUCUGUUCUUGCUUUUCAAACUGAAUCUUGCGAAUCUUUGUUAUUUUAUUAGCAAACUUUUACGUUUCUCUAUUCAAUAGCGAGGUAGAAAAAUGGUUAAAAUUAAAUAUUACUUGUAGUCCAAAACUUCUGUCCUGGAAUGUGCCCGGUUACAAUCAAAGUCUACUCGCAGACUAAGAGAGGAUUUAUUUCUUUAUAAGUAGACCGAAGAUUUUAGCGUUCUCGUCUGUUCAAUAUCAAGGUAGAAAGAUUGUCAGAAAUGAAUAUUGCUUGCAGCUGAAAACUUGUCUGUGAAUGAAUCUUAAAAUGAAAGUCCGAUUGCAGAGGAUUUCUCUUCAAAAAUUGUUCCCAUAUUGAGCCGGCGGUUCCCGCAAGAACUGCUAUGUCUGUUGUAGCAAAAGUAUAAGAAAAACUCCAGCAGAGAAUAGCCGAGACCAUCGCUAGAUCCAUGCGCGCGGAUUUCUCUCCUGAGGCAGAUCUCAUGGAUUCGAGCGGUUUUAGGGGUGGCACCGGUCUGACGGCGUAAAGCGCGUAAAGCGUAAAGCGGCCGACUUUCUGGGGAUAGAUAUUAACCAGAGAGUGGAACAGAUAGAACGACGGCUUUUCUAACACUUAUCGACGCAUCCACCGAAUUGACGAAAUUGUUUAUUAAUGGAAAUAACGGCCGAGGAGACUGCGGCGCUCGCGCGCAAGUCUUCCUGGUUGUCGCGAGGGUUGUUGGCCCAGCGGCUCCACAAGUGUGUAAUCACCUGAAUUACAAACUUCUCCUAUUAUCUUAAACUAUAUUCGUGUAAGCUCGGUCGAGCACGGGAAUUACAAAUAUAUUCGUUUUUGGGGAUCGCGUGCUCCCGGUGAAAAAUCUGCUUUUCCCCGGGGAGUGCUUAAUUUUGUAAAGGUUUUCUAAAAAGGGAAUUUCUUUUCAUUAAAUAGUGAUUCUCGCGCGGCAGCUAUUGCACAACAAACAUGUUAACAAUUCUGUGCAGAAAGUUCUUGGUUAACUUGGAAAUAUUUAUUUAUUUUAUUUUAUUUUUCUAGUUUUCUCUAGAAACGUAGCUGUGGUUGGUCACGUUGGUAAUCUGAAUACAGAAACAUUUGCACUUAAAUCGAACUAAGAUAGGAUGGAACGAUUUUCGAUGAAUGAGAUGCAUCCAGUUUCAUAGUCCAUUUACUGUCUUUCCAUAAAGAGUGAUUCGGAGCUAAUUGAGCGUUGAGGCCAGAGCAAUGUAAAACUGUUCAACCGAGUUGAUUUCAGCAUGCUAACGCGCGCUGCGUUUAACAACAUCCUAUCCAUCGACUUACGUACACGUUGCGACGACAAACUGCUCUAAAUUCUGCGCCAACCCGGCAACCGGAUCGAAAGACGAUCGUCGAAAUCUGCGGAGAGCAGGCCUGGCCGUAAAAUCAAACGGAAAAUCGAUGGUGCAGGGUGUCGGGGAAAGGAAGCCGGCGAGCCGGAUCGUCGAAACUGCGCUCGGUUUGAACUCUGUCCGGGUAAUCGAUGAGGGCCGUCGGUGGAGGGAAAGGUAGAGGCAGAGCGGCAGGCAGCAGAGAGAGCGGCAAGAAUAACACGGUACAUCGAUCAGCUUCCGAAACGAGUCCACCGUUCGAUCGUCCCGACGCACACACGUCGGCGUGGUCGUCGACGGUGGCAGCAGCCUAGCUGGCCAAGCCAAGGCAGGCAAGGCAAGGGUUCGUUCAAUCUGACGGAAAGAUUCGCGGCGUAGGAUCAAGGAGGAAACACGGGCGGACGGAAUCGAUAGACGACGGAAGGGUUUCUUUAUUUCGCGGAGAGGGCCGAGACGCGGCGGUGGUGGAACGGUCUGGCCUCCUCGUGGCUGCGUCCUCCUCCUCCUCCUCCUCCUCCUCCACCUCCUCCGCCUCUGCUUCAGCUUCAUCCUCCUUCGCUUCAUCCGCCUCCGCCUCGUCCUCGAGGGUGGGGAACAAUCCUCCCUCUCGUUGCCACCCUUCCUCCGGUUGCGCGUCGGGCCGGCGACGUCGGAUUCGUCGAUGACGAAACCGUUCGCCUCCGUAAAUUCGCGGACGUGCACGGUGCUGCCGCUCGCGAAAAUCAGUGCGACCGGAGUGCACCGCGAGGAAGGAACGCGGGUCGACCCGUGCGCGGCCUGCGGUUCCCGCUUGCGGCACGCGCGCCUCUCUUCUCUUUCUGCAAAGCCUGCUGCUGCUGCCUCACCUGGCGCACACCUUCCGCCUCUCUCUCACCCGCAGAUACCGUCAGACCGCCGCGGAAAUAGGUCGACGGACGCGCGCGCACACACGAGGAUCUCGCGACGGUAAACAGUGCCGACCGCGGCCGAAAACAGACCACCGACCAGUACCCGACACCUACUAUUCGCCCGUCCGUACGCCGCCGAGCCUGAUUCCAACUGGAGACAAUAGGGGACGUGGCCUGGCUCACGGAGGGAAAAUAUGAACACCCUGGCCGAGGCCGAACUCGCCCGGAGCUGCUAUUUCUGGGAAACCGUGAUCGGUACGGACACCGCUGUUCACGGUUCUGUUUAAGCCGGGAGAUUGAUGCUGGAAAUCGUGCGACGAUCGGCAUGAACACGUUCGAGGUUCUUUUGUUUGAGUCGCCUAUGGGUGCAGAAUAUUGUACGGUGCUGCAUGAAAAUUGAAACUGUAAACCUGGUGUGUUGAUCGGUAUGAACGCUGGGGAUCGAGGGUGUCAAAAGUUCUUUAAUCAAACACUGAAGAUUGUUCCAUGUUCAUUGAGGAAUUCGCUGGACAGAAGUUGAUGUUAUUGGGAAACAAUCAUUCUGGAAAAUAAUCUGAUGAACAAUUUCGAGAGGUACUUGAAGAGCCACGUGAAGAAUCGGUUGCCGAGGGAGCAGGGGAUGAAUUGAUGGCCCAGACCCUUCCGGUCCCAUUCUGUCGGUGGAGUGACCGCGUUACUCUGGUAUCGAGCCAGAGGUGGUAAAUAAAAAAUCGUGCGCCGCAGGAAUGAAAAUUGACGCGUCUAAGUCGUCGGACAAACAAAUUGCCAGACAAAAGUUGUUCGGUCAACGGAGAAUCGAUCCAUGUAUAAACACUUGUAAAUUUUCAGAAACCUGCACGGUCGAGGGCUCGUGUGUCGCGUGUCGGGCAGGGGCCGAGCGUGGAGGAGCGUGAAAACUGAAUUCGUCUCUCGAGGAACAAGCGUUGCGGAAGAUUCGGUAAAUAACACGGACUCACGAGGACGCAGGGGGUUGAACAGUCAGAGUCGGGUCCAAGGGGCAGUCGUCGAGGUUGAUCGAAGUGUUGGAAAAGUGGCGGCGUUUCCUCCCAUUGAGCUACCCCCGGCGCGGCGGGUGUCGGAGAGAGGGGGAUAUGAAUCCCGGAGAGAGGGAAAAUACGAAUACUGCGUCGGAAACUGCACCGUGAAUUCGGAACGAUAAAUUUGAUCGAGCUCGGGGGUGUAAACGGUGCACGGGAGCGGAGGCUUGACCAUCGGCGGCCGAUCGAUCGCCGGACGCUGCCGCCCAGCAAUCGUCGAAUUCGUCGCAUCGAUCUCGAUCGACAACCAGCCGGGACCGCCGAAAUCGAACCGUGAAGCAGACCGGACAAUUUCGAGCUGAAACAUAUUGUUCGGCACUUUUGAAAUUCGACCGAAAGACAAUUACCUUCGAUGUAACGUAAGUUCCGCGGAAAGAUCAUCCGCCGGAGAUCGGGACGGGAAACCGAUCGAUCGAUCGCUGCACCACCGGAGCAAUCAAAGGACAAUGAAUCCACACCGACGAGGUUCAGUGUCGGAAUUUAGGACACCGGAAGACAAAGGUUAACCGAGAGUCGCCGAAGAUCGCGGACACUUGUGAGCUCCGUCUGGCACAUGUGAUAGCGAAGAAGCUCCCGGUGGGAGGAACGGUGAGGGAAAACACACACACACACACACACA